UACAGAGGAGCCAAGCGUUGUCCGGAUUGACUGGGCGUAAAGCGCACGCAGGCGGUCUGGCGCGUGGGGUGUGAAAUCUGGCCGUUUAACGGCCAGGCGCCAUCCCAUACGGCCGGACUGGAGCCUUGCAGAGGUCGGUGGAAUUGCCGGUGUAGUGGUGAAAUGCGUAGAGAUCGGCAGGAACACCCAGGGGGAAACCAGCCGACUGGGCAAGUGCUGACGCUGAGGUGCGAGAGCGUGGGGAGCGAACCGG
rnacentral:rRNA from 1 species